ensembl:lincRNA
GCAGACUGGAUGCCUCCUGAACACCCUCUCGCAUAUGAGGCAGAUGCUGAGCAGGCUGAUUAGCAAGAUCUUUCUGCAUUGGUCGUGGGGUCUGCUCAGGAGCCCACCUCCCCUCUCUCCCAAGCACAGAGGCAGGCCAAAGGAGACAGACUUUUCAUCUGGGCCAGUUGUCCCCAAAGGGCCAGAAACGGUACGCCAUUCUGCCAUGGGCGAAAUCCGUCACAUCUCUUCUUGUGACUUGCGCUGAAAGAGUGCUUCGCAGCUGUUGGAACUGCUGGCGGUGACAGAGCCCCAAGACCCCUGAUCCUUGCUCGCUCCUUACAAGAUUUAAAGGGGAUUGGGUUCAGGAGGUGGCUGCCCUACACGCUCCAAGGAGGGAGCCCUGCCUCCUCCUGCCUGCUGCGUGCGCUUACCCUCCUGCUCCCGGAGGCCCAGCUAAACCUACGAGGGCUUUUCUUUUCAAGUGUUUUAUUAAAUGAAGAGUCUAACAACCCUCACUUUAAUUACACACGGGCUCCGUUUAUAAUUCCUCUGGAUUUAUUCAAGUAGUUGAAAACGACGGUGCUGGUGAUUAAACCGAUCAUCUUAGUUUAGCAGCUACAAAACCUGGGAGUGGGUUAGUGUGUAAGUGUGCAACGGGGUGCCGGUGUGUGCCGCCGGCACAUGGGUGCUUGUUCUGAGGCCUCUGACACGCCCCCUGCACCCUGGCCCAGCUUCCUUCUCCCUUGGGAAACCGUGUCUGGCACGGGAUAAAGGGGUACACAAAUUGGCCCCUUUGGGGCAGCACAUUGAGGGACCUGCUCUCACCGCAAGGUGCCUUUCCCUCUGCAGAAGGGAAAGUAAUACCAAGAUGGCGUGGAGACUGCAUUAUGCAACAAAGUCCUGCUGCUGUGGGCUCUUUUUUUUUUUUUUUCCUAAUGUAAAGCCCUGCCCAUUUGUUUUGGUUUACGUGACUACAGAGAAAUAAGUGGAUUAGACGGAAACUUUAGCAUGCUUCAUUGCAGCUGGGUGCCGACAUCUGUCAUUCCUCAGCCAUAUUCCAGAUCAUGCCAGCCAGAGAAAGCAAAGUCUGACACCUUUGAUUUUUUAGAGAGAGCCUUUUAUAGGGGGGAAAAAAGAGAAGAAAGGAGUAGCAUUUCCUUUGUGACUUCAUGAAAGAAAAAAAAUAAAAACACCUCUCUUUCCAGGCUUCCUUUUAUUUAUUUAUUUUUGGGCAUGUGGCACUCAGCCACGACUGAAGGCUGGAAAGUUUAGGCUUCCAUCUUCCCUUUCUUCUUUGUAAUUUUUCUAUUGUUCACGGUACCAAUUUGUUGAAUGGGGCACGAUAAAAAAGUAGCUGUUUUCAAUUAAUCCAUGUGCCUGUCUGUAUGGAUCUGUACCUCGGGUACCGAGGGUUGAUGUUGGUUCCUUUUUGGAAAAGAGGGAUGUGCGAUUCUCUCCCUCACACAUAAAACUCUCAUUAACACCACACAACAGCACUGGAUUUUGAUGGCGUGUGCCUGCUCCCACAACACUAUCUUUGGUGAGAUGCUCUCUAACCCAUAUGCACCUCCACCUCCUAAGAAACGCACUCAUGUUUUUAUGAAAGAUAUGGGUAGAUAGCGGAUUACCCGCAGAUAUUCUUGGAUACUAGCUUUUAGUGCACUGAUAUUUAUUUACCGAAAAGAUUGUGUGCCCCCACCCGAGUCUGUGCCAGUGCGACACAGCGCGCCCAGCACACCCUUGGCACGAGUGGAGUUCCGAUAUUGGCCCCCCUCCCAUAUUUAAAUUGUACAAUAAAAC